UGUUGUUCAAGAAAUUGCCACACCCACCCCAACCUUCAGCAACAACCACCUUGAUCAGUUAGUAGCCACCAACAU